AUCGAUAAAGACUCUCAUUGGUAGGAAAGAUCGGGUGUGGAGAGUGGAAAGUCACACCAGUGACGGUACUUAACAGAAAAGGGACGGCUAGCUACGUGCCAGCAGCCGCGGUAAUACGUAGGUCCCGAGCGUUGUCCGGAUUUAUUGGGCGUAAAGCGAGCGCAGGCGGUUAGAUAAGUCUGAAGUGAAAGGCAGUGGCUCAGUCAUUGUAGGCUUUGGAAACUGUUUAACUUGAGUGCAGAAGGGGAGAGUGGAAUUCCAUGUGUAGCGGUGAAAUGCGUAGAUAUAUGGAGGAACACCGGUGGCGAAAGCGGCUCUCUGGUCUGUAACUGACGCUGAGGCUCGAAAGCGUGGGGAGCGAACAGGAUUAGAUACCCUGGUAGUCCACGCCGUAAACGAUGAGUGCUAGGUGUUAGGUCCUUUCCGGGACUUAGUGCCGCAGCUAACGCAUUAAGCACUCCGCCUGGGGAGUACGACCGCAAGGUUGAAACUCAAAGGAAUUGACGGGGGCCCGCACAAGUGGUGGAGCAUGUGGUUUAAUUCGAAGCAACGCGAAGAACCUUACCAGGUCUUGACAUCCCGAUGCCCGCUCUAGAGAUAGAGCUUUACUUCGGUACAUCGGUGACAGGUGGUGCAUGGUUGUCGUCAGCUCGUGUCGUGAGAUGUUGGGUUAAGUCCCGCAACGAGCGCAACCCUUAUUGUUAGUUGCCAUCAUUCAGUUGGGCACUCUAGCGAGACUGCCGCGGAGAACGCGGAGGAAGGUGGGGAUGACGUCAAAUCAUCAUGCCCCUUAUGACCUGGGCUACACACGUGCUACAAUGGCUGGUACAACGAGUCGCAAGCCGGUGACGGCAAGCUAAUCUCUGAAAGCCAGUCUCAGUUCGGAUUGUAGGCUGCGGCUCGCCUACAUGAAGUCGGAAUCGCUAGUAAUCGCGGAUCAGCACGCCGCGGUGAAUACGUUCCCGGGCCUUGCACACACCGCCCGUCACACCACGGAAGUCGUUCACGCCCGAAGCCGGCGCGGCCGUCUAAGGUGGGGAAGGUGUCUGAGUGAAGUCGUAACAAGGUAGCCG
rnacentral:rRNA from 1 species